UUCAAGGAUUAUCCUGUAACGGAAUAGGAUCCGAAGCCUCCUGAAGAUUCCAUCCAACUCCUAUUCCGACACGUCCACGUCGUGCAGGGUGGUAACAUAUGCCUAAGUUCAACUAUUUCAGCGGGUGACGGCUCAUGGCUAAGGAGCAAACA
rnacentral:ribozyme from 1 species